rnacentral:rRNA from 1 species
AGAGUUUGAUCCUGGCUCAGAGCGAACGCUGGCGGCAGGCCUAACACAUGCAAGUCGAACGAACUCUUCGGAGUUAGUGGCGGACGGGUGAGUAACACGUGGGAACGUGCCUUUUGGUUCGGAAUAACUCAGGGAAACUUGUGCUAAUACCGAAUGUGCCCUUCGGGGGAAAGAUUUAUCGCCAUUAGAGCGGCCCGCGUCUGAUUAGCUUGUUGGUGAGGUAAUGGCUCACCAAGGCUACGAUCAGUAGCUGGUCUGAGAGGAUGAUCAGCCACAUUGGGACUGAGACACGGCCCAAACUCCUACGGGAGGCAGCAGUGGGGAAUCUUGCGCAAUGGGCGAAAGCCUGACGCAGCCAUGCCGCGUGAAUGAUGAAGGUCUUAGGAUUGUAAAAUUCUUUCACCGGGGACGAUAAUGACGGUACCCGGAGAAGAAGCCCCGGCUAACUUCGUGCCAGCAGCCGCGGUAAUACGAAGGGGGCUAGCGUUGCUCGGAAUUACUGGGCGUAAAGCGUGCGCAGGCGGUGAUGUAAGACAGUUGUGAAAUCCCCGGGCUCAACCUGGGAAUUGCAUCUGUGACUGCAUCGCUAGAGUACGGUAGGGGGGGAUGGAAUUCCGCGUGUAGCAGUGAAAUGCGUAGAUAUGCGGAGGAACACCGAUGGCGAAGGCAAUCCCCUGGACCUGUACUGACGCUCAUGCACGAAAGCGUGAGGAGCAAACAGGAUUAGAUACCCUGGUAGUCCACGCCCUAAAACGAUGUCAACUGGUUGUUGGGGUGCAUUAGUACUCAGUAACGAAGCUAACGCGUGAAGUUGACCGCCUGAGGAGUACGGCCGCAAGGGUUGAAACUUAAAAGGAAUUUGACG